rnacentral:rRNA from 1 species
UCUUGACCUCAGAUCAGGCAAAGCUACCCGCUGAAUUUAA